rnacentral:rRNA from 1 species
UGCGUAGGCGGGUUUCUAAGUCAGAGGUGAAAGCCUGGAGCUCAACUCCAGAACUGCCUUUGAUACUGGAAGUCUUGAGUUCGGGAGAGGUGAGUGGAACUGCGAGUGUAGAGGUGAAAUUCGUAGAUAUUCGCAAGAACACCAGUGGCGAAGGCGGCUCACUGGCCCGAUACUGACGCUGAGGCACGAAAGCUGGGGAGCAAACA